rnacentral:lncRNA from 1 species
CCGCCCGCGGGCAGAGGGCGCUCCGCCUCCAGCAACGUUCCCUUUACGUACUGCGCGUGAACGUUUGAAUCUUACCGCAUACGGGUAGAAAUCGCGCACAAAUCUCGUUCUCAGCGGAAGCGUAACGUACACGGACAGAUCUCCGUCCUUCGGCACCGCACGGCCGCCUCACCGCUGCGGAACCGCCGCCGCUCCGCCUGCAGCAGCAGCGCUCAGCGCCGCGUCCGACAGCGGCAGCAGCCGAAGGCUGAGCGAACAGCGCAAACCGCCGCCGCUGCGAAAGAGGAGCAGAACGACCUCUGCCACACUUCACAUCCCUGCUGCCCCGCUUUGGAGCUCGGUUUUGAAGUGGAGUUCAGCUACAUAUCAGCUCUCCAGAACUGGGAAGGCAGCCAGUCACACUGCUUAGCUUCACGUGGAAAGCAGAGAUCAAAGACAGCAAAGUAACAUAAUGGUAGAAGGUAUCAAGAUAUGAAGCCAGGAAGCCUCCAGAAAGACAGAACUGAAGCCUGCCACAAAGCUGCACUGACCUGGGGACAGACAGCCUGCCAAGCACAGAGUGCAUACUUACACAGCUCCAGGCUGAGCAAAGUUUACUCAGCAACUACAGCCUCCACUUACUGCAGAGGAUGCAGCAACUGAUCUAGUGCUUCCACCAUCAGCUUUUCUCUCCAGUUAAGACAGAAAGGGACAACUACUCUGCAAGUGGAAAUCUUUGGUGAAGAUGUUAACUACGAAGAGUACACAGAUAAAAACAGAUUGAAUUUUACCAGAUGUGAAAAUCAGUUCAGUUAGUGGGAAUUUUUAAGUGUAAAAUAUGCACUGUACAGGCUUUCCAAGGUGAACAAAAAAUACUAAGAGAAGCAAUUUUACCAAGAAAUAAUUGAAUAGAGCCUCCAAACUUACUUCUGCCUCAAGUGCAUUUCCACAGGCCUGUUCUGGGGCUCCUAUACACUCUUUGAUCGUGAGUGGAUCAACAAGCCAGAGUGCAACAGUGGAUGGCCAAUUCCCUCCCAGAUUCGACACGGUAUUGAGGAGUGUCAUGUAGGUCCCUCCAAUCAGUGGAUCACUGACUUUGGCAUUAAAGGCCAUUAUUGCAACGUACAUGCUAUACAGUGAGAUCUACAGAAGGGAUAAAAACCCACAGGACAGUAAGGUCUCCCCAGUUACAGACAAUGACAAUAAAAGCCCUAACAUAAACACUGUUUUGAGUGAUUACUUGAAGUUAGCAACAUUGAUUCAAAAGUAAUCCCAACAGAUUAAAGUUGCACAAUAUAAAUUACUCCUGCAGUUUCUCUACUAAUAUCAAGUUGCUGUGAAGCUCGCAUCAACUCACAGAAAUGGAUCCAGUCUCACAUGCACUGGAAUUACUCAGGUUAUCAAACAGAAGUUAUGACAAGGCCAAAUAAAAUAGCAUAUAAAAAUAACACUUUUGCUUGCUCUGAUCCAAAGACCAGUUUGUACCAGACAUUUGGUUUUCAGGCCUUUGGAUCAGAUCUGUUAUGUUGUUU